UCCCUGGUGGUCUAGUGGUUAGGCUUUGGUGCUCUCACCUCCAUGGCCCAGGUUUGAUUCCUGGUCAGGGAA
rfam:Mus musculus chromosome 7, GRC primary reference assembly.